rnacentral:rRNA from 1 species
CGCUAUCACUCCUACGGGGAGGCAGCAGUAGGGAAUCUUCACAAUGGGCGCAAGCCUGAUGGAGCAACACCGCGUGAGUGAAGAAGGGUUUCGGCUCGUAAAGCUCUGUUGUUAAAGAAGAACACGUAUGAGAGUAACUGUUCAUACGUUGACGGUAUUUAACCAGAAAGUCACGGCUAACUACGUGCCAGCAGCCGCGGUAAUACGUAGGUGGCAAGCGUUAUCCGGAUUUAUUGGGCGUAAAGAGAGUGCAGGCGGUUUUCUAAGUCUGAUGUGAAAGCCUUCGGCUUAACCGGAGAAGUGCAUCGGAAACUGGAUAACUUGAGUGCAGAAGAGGGUAGUGGAACUCCAUGUGUAGCGGUGGAAUGCGUAGAUAUAUGGAAGAACACCAGUGGCGAAGGCGGCUACCUGGUCUGCAACUGGCGCUGAGACUCGAAAGCAUGGGUAGCGAACAGGAUUAGAUACCCUGGUAG